rnacentral:rRNA from 1 species
CCUACGGGAGGCUGCAGUGAGGAAUAUUGGUCAAUGGACGAGAGUCUGAACCAGCCAAGUAGCGUGAAGGAUGACUGCCCUAUGGGUUGUAAACUUCUUUUAUAUGGGAAUAAAAUGUUACACGUGUGGGAUUUUGUAUGUACCAUAUGAAUAAGGAUCGGCUAACUCCGUGCCAGCAGCAGCGGUAAUACGGAGGAUCCGAGCGUUAACCGGAUUUAGUGGGGUUAAAGGGAGCGUAGGUGGAUUGUUAAGUCAGUUGUGAAAGUUUGCGGCUCAACCGUAAAAUUGCAGUUGAAACUGGCAGUCUUGAGUACAGUAGAGGUGGGCGGAAUUCGUGGUGUAGCGGUGAAAUGCUUAGAUAUCACGAAGAACUCCGAUUGCGAAGGCAGCUCACUGGACUGCAACUGACACUGAGGCUCGAAAGUGUGGGUAUCAAACAGAAUUAGAUACCCCAGUAGUC